UACGAAGGGUGCAAGCGUUACUCGGAAUUACUGGGCGUAAAGCGUGCGUAGGUGGUUCGUUAAGUCUGAUGUGAAAGCCCUGGGCUCAACCUGGGAAUGGCAUUGGAUACUGGCGACCUAGAGUGCGGUAGAGGGGUGUGGAAUUCCCGGUGUAGCAGUGAAAUGCGUAGAUAUCGGGAGGAACAUCUGUGGCGAAGGCGGCAUCCUGGACCAUUACUGACGCUGAGGCGCGAAAGCUAGGGGAGCAAACGGG
rnacentral:rRNA from 1 species